GGAAGUUAAACCCCUCCCCUAACUAUAAAACCCGUGCUUUCAACUUCUGUGCUCUCUGCUGCUGUGAAAGGAGGGAGAAGCAGAGGCAGAGAGACCCCUUCAGCAGGCAACUGCGGUCCUCCACACCAGAGGAGCAGGAGGAAAUGUCUUCAGGGACUGGCCCUCCCUGGCUGGAUUUGGGGUUUGCCUCCUCAUCACCCCAGUUUGGGGCUCACCUCACUGCUGCUUACCUGGUUGGCAGCGGGCAACACUGCUCAUAUGGAAGCGCUCCUGGGAUAUUUCAGGAAGAUGCGGGAACUGAUUUUGUUAAGUUCCUCUCAUGGGCACAUCACCCCCAGCAAAGCCAAAGCCCUCAAUGGAAAGCCGAGGCUCAGAAUGACUCCCUUGUCCCCAAUAAGCCGAGGUUCAGUUUCACGUGGUGCAUCUAAGUGAUGCCAAGUACACUCGUGAGAUCUGAACUGUGCUCCUGGGAGUAUUGUAUUAGUGGACAAAUGACAGGAACUUUUUCCCUUUUUGAGUGCAAACCUAGUGACUUGGUCAUUGUGCACCCUCGUUACAGAAUUCAAAACAAGGAUAAGAAUGACCGCCGUCACUGUGAACCAAGGACUUACUGCCUUUGACGCUGCAAGCAGCUGACAUACCCUCUCACCUCAGUGCCUUCCUUGUGGCUUGUUUCCUCACCUUCCAGAAAAUUGCAGAAGCCAUUUCUCAUCCAGUCAGUCAGUUCUACAGUAAUUAAGAAAUCAUUCUUGUAUUAAUCAAGUGUUUUUAUUCUGUAUUUUUGAUGCUUUGACACCUUGGGGUCUUGCUGACCCCGGAGGGGCCGCCCCUCCAAGGUAGCUAAUUCCCAGAGACAGCCAAUGGCUGGGCUGCGCACAGGUGUUUCCUGUGCAAACCGACCAAUCCAGAGCCCACACCCCCAGCCACCUCCCCUAAGGCUCUCACCCUCUGAGCCACUAUCCACCUGGCUUCGUCACCCCCAGGCCAGGCACCAGACACCCAGGCGCAGCAUCCACGGCCCAGCGUCUGCUGAAAUUAUUCCCACCGGCCAGUUGCACGCCAGCUUACCCUGCAGCAAGCUCCUUCCCCUGGAAACCUUCCUAAAGGCGCUUGCCCGUGUUUUCCCCUCACUCCCUCUGCCUCCAGCGGAUCACGGUGCUGCCCCACGUGGCCCUACCUACUGAGCAAGGCCUCCUGUUUCCAGGGAUCUGCGAGAAUAACACACUUCUUCCUUCACAACAGUUACUGCCUCACUUGUACGGCAUGCCAUGCCAGUUACAACAAACCCUCACCCCUCUCCAAACCCUCCUGGAGACCCAGUCUAGAGCCCCUCCGGUCCGUGCUCCCCAGCAGCCUGCAGAUGACUUCGUAAGCUCCUAACUCCCUGUACUAACUCUCUUUUUCCCUGGAAACCACUAGAGGGUUUUGUUUCCUGCGGUUAACCCUGAUGCUAAAGCCUCUAACCCCAGGCUGCACAGGUGGCCGGGAACAAAGACCCCACCGUCUGUCUGCCUCGAGCACCCAUGCCCUCGACCAGGAAGCCCUGCUUUAUUUACACCGGUGUUUGUGUCACCACCUACCUUCUCAAGGGGUUUUCCUCUCUCUUGAAAGCACUUCCCCAACCACAGAAUGUUGCACUGGCCCUUAGGUGACCUUCGUGGGCCAGCCUCCAGCUAAAGCUGUUGCCUGAGCAGGUGUUUUCCAAUUCCUUAAUCUGGAUCAUUUCCCGGCAGUGACCUGGGCUCCAGGUUAGGUUCUGAUCUCUGGAGAAGAGGACUCGAAGGUGUCUAUGAAGCCGAACUGAGUGUUCCUCCCAUUUUGGAAAAGAACAAGGAAUGACAGGGAAUCCAGGAAAACUUCCUGCCGCCACUCAAGUCUUCAGAGAGGCGCUCUGGCUCCUGCUGAGGCUUGUGGGGGGGGGGGGUAUUUCAAGUCAGAGCCCAUCAGUCACUUCCACCCGCAUGUUUCCUGCAAGUUCCUGCCCAAUCUUGGCUCGUGGAGGCAACAUCUCACAUUAUAUAGGUGGAUGGAUCCCAUAGCUUGUUCAGGUCAUUUUCAGAUAGUGAAAAUACUCCAGUCUGGUCUAAGCCACAUCUUUCUUCUUCUUUUUAUCAUCUCAUAUCCUACUGAAGCGGCGCUCUUCCCCCAGUUCAGGCAGAACAGCAGCAGGAGGGGGGGCGAUGGUGUGUCCUUCGGGGCAUAUUUUUCCUCCCCCUCCCCCCUCUGCCUUGCUGUGGCUGGUGCCUCCGGAGCUGGAGGAGAAGGGUGGGCAAAGGGAGAGGAGAUGCGAAGAUAAGGGGGUUCUGUUGAAUUCCUGUUGGAAUAGCUGACGACUGGAAUGUGCUAGGUGGUGGAUGCUCAAAGGUUGGUCCUCACGUUAAUUUCCUAGGGCUGCCAUAGUAACGUGCCACAAUCUGAGGGGCUUACAUGAACAGAAAUGUAUUCUCUCACCCUCUGGAGGCCAGAAAUCCAAAAUCAAGAUGUUGGCAGAGCCACGCUUCCUCUGAAGCCCCAAGGGAGGCUCCUUACUGGCUUCCUCCAGCUCCGGUUGGCGCCAGACUUCCUAGGCUCAUGGCUGCAUCAGUGCCGCUGUGCCUCCGUCUUCACAUGGCCUCCUCCUCUCUGUGCCCGUGUCCAGACUUCCCUCUGCUUAUAAGGACACCAGUCACAGUGGAGUAGGAGCCCACCCGACUCCGGUGGGACCUCACCUUAACCAGUUACAUUAGCUGCAACCCCCAUUCCCAAAUAAAGCCACACUCACAGGUCCUGGGGGUUCAGAUGCCAACGUGUUUGUGGUGGGUGGAGGCAAUUCAUCCCGAAUGGCCCUCUUUCUCCUCUGUCUUUGGUGAGGUGCUCCUGUGGGCUCCUCAGGGAUAUCACCCUCUCCUCACAACCACCCUCAUCACCACCUGGAGCCUCCUGGCCUGGGAGGUCCCUCCUUGUCUGACCUCUCCCAGCUUCUCUUCAUCUCUGGCCCCAGGGCUUCACACUGCAGGUCCCCCUGCCCAGCAGCAAGCAGGAUUUUUUCCAGGAAAGUUCUAAUCUGGUUCCUUCCUUGGCCCCCUUGGUCCCUGGCUGCCACUCCCCCUUGUGCAUCCAGGAGGGCUCCCAGAGAGCAGUGCCGUUUACCUGUGGCCUCGGCAGUUCAGAGGCCACACCUGCCUGCAGCAGGGUCGCUGCUCUCCUCUGGUCUGGCCAUGCCGGGCCGCACCGCAGCAGCUCAGGACACGCUCAGCACCAAGUCAGACGCCAGAGUGGCCUGGCUGCCCUUCUCACCCCUCCCAGAUUCCUCCUCCUGCACCCGCUCUGGUCUGGGAUGGUGAGCCCACCUUCCCCUCUUUCCUCUGAAGUGGAGGAGCAGCACCGUAGCAUCCUCCACGUCUGUGUAGGUGCUUUAGCCUUCUCUGGUCCAUCACCUCCGAAUUUCUCGUCUUCUCUCAUGUAUGAGGAGGGUGGCGAGCCCAGGUCACAGGAUUUGGCAGAUUCAGGCAUCCCGGGGAGGGGGGGUGUUCUAACACUUCUUUUCAGAAUGUGCGAAACCCGUUGUCUUCGGUUCUGGGGGACUCGGGAAAACUCAGUGGACCAGACCAGUCUCAUUUAGCAUCCUGGAUGAUGCAGUGCCUGGUUCAUAGUGAUGCUCAGUAAAUAACUGGCUUGGAAGUCCAGAUUCCAGUGCCUGUGGUUCUGAUGCUCUGUCAUUUCAUUUCAUACUACAUUUGCAGCCAUGAGACUUCAGGAAACACUGUGGUCCUCCAAAGAAUGUUCUACUAAAGACAAACUUCCAAGUUUUGACUCUUUCCACAUCUAUUGCCACUGAACUUCGAUAGAUGGGGACUUGUACACAAGUACGUGAUAUGAGCAAUCACAACCCUCUUCAUUCAACUGUGUCCUCCAAGAAGGCUCUCCAUCCACUUUAUCUUACAGGGAACACCCCUACCCAGACAGUCUCUGCCCCUUUUCCCUUUCUAAGUGUGCUUCAGAGCAGUUCUGACUGCCUGAAAUUAAAUUAACUUAUGGUUUGUUGUUUGUCUCUUCCGACUGGAAUAUAAGCAUCCUUCAGCUCGCCGUUGUCUGCCAGGUCUCCCGCAGCGUCCAGGGUUCAGAAGAGGGUCUAGCACGUGGGAGGUGGAGUGGCUUGAAGGGCGCCCCCCCACCAAAAGAUGUGCCCACUGGAAACUGUAUGUGACCUUAUUUGGGGAAAAGUUCUUUGCUGAUACAAUUAAGUAUCUUAGGAUGACAUCAUCCUGAAUUAAGGUGAGCCCUAAAAACAAUGACAAGUGUCCUUACAAGGGAAGAAAAGGAAAGGAGACACAGACAAGAAGGCCAUGUGAAGAGGGAGGCAGAGUUUGGAGGGAUGUGACCACAAGCCAAGGGAUGCCUGGAGCCACUGGAAGCCAGAAGAGCUAGGGAAGGGUCCAUCCCUAGAGACUUCAAAGGGAGUGCAGCCCUGACAACACCCUGAUUUUGGCCUUCUUGCCUCCAGAACAGUACAAGAAUAAUCUCCUGGUAUUUCAAGUCACCAAAUUUGUGGCAAUUUAUUAUGGUCGCCCUGGGAAACUCAUACAGUGGACAUGCAGUAAAUGUCUGCUCAAUGAAUGAAUGAAUGAAUGAAUGAAUGAAUGCCAUCCACAGCAGCAGUGUUCAGCCCCUCUCUAUGGGGUCCUGGAGAGCCCAUUGCGUCAAGGCAUCGCCCCAGAGGAGGAGCAGGUGUCAGGACCAUUGGGUGUAAGUCCCAGCUCUGCUGAUAAGUGUCAGUUCCACUCCUGGCCUCAGUCUCCCUGGUUGGAGAGACGAUCCCUGAGGUUCUGGGGUCUCCAUGACCGAACAGGAGUGCUGCAGAGACAAAGAAGUCUCUCUCUGAGCAGCUCUUUCCAGGCAGCCCUGCACGCACCGGGUCUGAGACCGCAGCUGGCAGAGGGCCCCGGGAGUCCCUCCAGAACAGGGCACGGGCUGCGUGCCCAGCAGUGGCAGCUGCUGUGUGUCUGUGUCUGCCUGCCCUCGGGGCCUUUGGUUACCUUAGCGAUCAUCUCUCUCCCAGGCUGCCCGGGGCAGAUGGGAUCAGCUGGCGGUAGGGCUAAGGGAGAACUGUCCCCUGGCUGUGAGACAACAUGGGUGCAUCAUGAAGGGCUUAACCUCUAGCUCAGGGUGGAGGACAAGUGGUUUAGGAAAUUCACAACAGCGCUUUAAAGGCUUGUUUUCCAUUUAGUGGCUGCGGGGAAGCCCCCUGGUAUCGACGUGUCUCCUAGGAAGUCUGGCUGGUUUCCCCAACACAGAGAAGGAAGACUAUUUUUGGAAACUUGUAAUGGUCUACAGAAAUUUAUCCACAAACCCGGCCUCUGUAUUCUCCCGAGAGUCCAGUUGGAUGGCCAAGUUGCAUGGUUCGUUUCAGCAGGCUUACAUGGGUUUAAAAAAAUUCGGAACUCGAUAUAUUUGCGCUGAAGUUCAGCUGAACUCAAUCUUCUGACCUUUCCAAUGACUGAUUCUCUGCGCAGCUGCUGCCCCUCGGAGGGAUGGCAGCCCCUGGCAGCCGGGCGGAGCCAAGAUGACCCUGGCUGAGGUCCCAGGACACGCAAGCACUAGAGCAGCCUGUGUGACUUUGUAGAAGUUCGUACAUCUCUCUGGGCCUCAGCUGCCCAUUUGGGAAAUAGGACUCACAGUGUCCCUGUGCCCACCUCGGGAGGUGUGGAGAAGGUCCAGCAGCCAGGCACUUCAGAAGACUUCCUAAGAAAGGGCUCGGGGCACCCAGGGAGAUGGCUGGUGAAGCCAGAGGAGGGGGAGGCAUUAACUUUGCCCAAAGAAAGGUGUCAUUACUGAAUCUAAACUCGUUCUGCUCACUGCAAGACAGACCAAUAAAUGGGGGAUGAGGUGUUGGAGCAAGGAAUAAAAGACUUUACUUGGAAAGCCAGCAGCCCAAGAAGACGGCAGACUAAUGUCCCGGAGAACCAUCUUCCCCAAGUCAGAAUUCAGGCUGCUUUUAUCCUGAAAAGGGGAGGGGCUGGGGCUGGUUGUUGCAGACUUCUUGGUGCCAGAGUCCUUUGCUCUGGCAUCUGUCCACGUGGGUCAGGUCAUGAUGUUCCUGCAAACCUCCAGCAGGACGAAUAUUAUUUUCUUUUCUGCAACUUUUUAUCUUUAUAUGAAUGGGGAAGUGUUAAUACCCUUAAAGGUCAGAGCUUGAGAAUGGGUAGACUGUAUAUUUCAGGCUCUAGGCAACAGUCUUUUACAAAAGGUGCAGAACCAGCAUGACUGAGCCCAGGAAACAGAGCACAGGGAUAGAGCCAAAGGAACAGGUCUAAUACGCAGUCAGAUUUGUUCUUCGCUCCUACAGAGUGGCCUUUAUCUCUGGCUUCUGGGAGCUAACCGCCAAGCCCUUGGGAUGGUCCACCUGAUAGAAGUGCCUUUGUUUACCUGGGUCUUGGGCUGUGCCAAAUAAUUUGCACUGACAAUGUGAUCUGUGGUGGAGCCCUGGGACCAAGCAGUUAUCAGCUGCCCCAAGGGACUGGAUAUGAAAGUCAGCCACGUGUGUAAUCUGCUUUGUGUCUGUGCGACUGACCCCCAUAAAAACUCUGGACAUCAAGGGUUGGAUGAGUGCCCUUGGUUGGCAACACCCAGUGCGUUCUGUCUCACGUGGUGGCUGAGAGAAGUAAGCACUGUCCUGAUGUCACUGGAAGAGGACAAGAGGCAGCUCAUACCUGGACCUCUCCUGGACCCCUCCCCGUGCCCUUCUUGUUGCUGAUUUUGAUCUGUGAGCUUUGGCUGUAAUAAAUCACAACUGUGAGAAUGAUA